GGGGCGGUGGUCCAGUGGUUAGGUCGCUCUGUCUUGUAUCGUUAUCCGUAUACCUAGAACCUAUAACCUCUACCAAAGGCAGAGAGUCGGUGGUUCGAAUCCAUCCCGCUCCA
rnacentral:tRNA from 1 species